ACCUGUCUAGCCAGGCAGUCUUUAUUGAGUAUCUACUAAAUGACAGACUCUCAUUACAGAAGCACGUGCCUGCCAUCUAUGUGGGGGUGGGUGGGUAAACAUGUAAAAAGAAAAUCAUGGACAUGACCUCGUGUGACUAAGCAAUGCAUGACUGGCACAGAAUUUCUACCCGGUCAUUGAGGCCUUCCUGAAGUGUGGGGGAGGGACUGCCCCAGUGCCUUGGGAGUGAGUAAGGUUUGAAGCAUGGAGUAAGAGACCAGCAUGCAGCCUUGGCAUGAGUGGGGUGCUUGUGUGAGAAUACGGAAGUUACCAGGAUAAGGUCCUGGAGAGGUGAUUGGAAGUUGCCCAGCCGAGUCCCACUGAAGAGGCAGCACUCAGUUUCCUGUGCUCACUCAGAGCCUUGGUAUCUGGAUGUCACCAGUUCCCCUGUUGGGGCAAGAAACCUGCCCAGGUCACUUCUCUCUUUCUACUGAGACCUUUCAGUCACUCAGCUGGAGCUGGUGGAUAUGGAGGACUCCAGCCCUGGGAGUAUCUGGCUGGAGGAAAUGGGAAACCCCAGCAUGGGUGUUGCAACAGCAGAUUACGAAAUGUCCUGGAUCCCUACAUCCAUCCCCUCUCCCGAGGGGAAAGAACACAUUCCUGGGCUGCCUGCCCUGCCUUGUCACACAGCAUGAGUGUGUUCUCUGCAGUACCCAUGGCAGCACCACCGGCAGAAGACCCCACUUCCUCCUCAGCCCCUCUGCACUAAGACCAAUCAAAUGCUGUCAUUUAAGAGCUGGCUUUGCUGACCUUGGAGGAUUCCCAUCUUCACCCAGUCAUGCAAACCUCUUCCUUAAAGGCGCCCUUCUUGAUCACAAGAUAAAAAGAGAAAACUGCCUUUCCCUUCCUUUUCAGCUAUGACUAAUGAUCUGAGCUCUCUUGUGGUUAAUACAUAGAGACAGGCUUUCUGCUGAAAUGGCCUGGAGUUUAAUGAGAAGUUCUUAGACUCCGGCUGCACAUUGUUUGUUCGGCAGGGUGUGAAGGAUGCAGAGAUGGAGUUAGCCUGUCCCUGCAGCUUUGAACACAUUUACUCAAAGCUCGGAAAUGUUACUUCAUUAUCAGUAAAACAAGGAAAGUUGUCCUAAUCUCCUACUGGUUGUUGGGACUUGUUAUACAGAAGGUGCAGCCAAGCUGCUGGGUGGAGUGGAGCCUCCCUGCAGGCUGCCAUCAUUCUCUGCAUCUCAGUACACAUGAUGGUCCCUAGAGAAGUGGCAUCAGUGUUACUGGGAGGCUAAUGAAGAAUGCAGGACUCCAAGUCUACCCAGUCCAGAGUUUUCGCAUACCCCCCCCCCGGGGUGAGAAUUCUCUCUCUCUCUCUCUCUCUCUCUCUCUCUCUCUCUCUCUCUCUCUCGGGAAAUGGCUAUCUAUCCAUCCAUCCAUCCAUCCAUCCAUCCAUCCAUCCAUCUAUCUAUCUAUCUAUCUAUCUAUCUAUCUAUCUAUCUAUCUGGUAGGGCAUGGUGACAGCUUUCUUUUUUAAUAAUUUAUUUUUUAUUUCCAAUCCCAGUUCCCCUACCCUCUUCUCCUUCCACUUCCCCAACUCCCUCCACUCCUCAGAGUGGGUAAGGCCUCCCCUAGAAAGACUACUAAGUCUGUCCCAUCAUCUUGUGAGGCAGGACCAAGUCACCUCCCCACACCCCAUAUUCCUGGGUCUAGGCUAAGCAAGGUAUCUCUCCAUACAGAAUGGGCUCCGCUAAGUCAGUUUGUGCAUUAGAGUUAGAUCUUGGACCCACUGCCAGUGGCCUCACAUAACUGUCCCAGAGCACCAUUGUCACCUAUAUUAAGAGAGUCUAGUUUGGUCUUAUGCAGGUUCCCCAUUUGUCAGACCAGAGUCAGUGAUCUCCCACUAGCUCUCGUCAGCUGAUCCUGUGGGUUUCCCCAUCAUGGUCUUGGCUCCUUGGUGACAGCUUUCUAAUGCUUGUUCCAUAAUCUUUUGAUGCUUCUUGGCAUCACAGCUGAAUGGACCAAACAGAUCUUCUAUCUUCCCAAGUGAGUGAUCUUCCUUAAUCAGACCUCUGAUCACUUCAUGCUGGUGUGUUUUGAUGGCUCUCUGUUCCCCAAAGUACCAACUUUAUGGAACAACCCUCAAGGCUGUCACCACCUGGCUGCAGCUCACCUUUCCAGCCUCAUUCUGCUCUCACUUUUCCCACAGCCUCUGUUACAGCCAAACUAGGUAGGCUUGUCCUUCCCUGAGGCAGCUUUCCCCUCCAUGUUCCUUAUCACAAAAUGGUUCCCUGGCUGUCUCUCUCCUUCAUCUCCUUUCCUAGGCUUCCUCAAGUCUUAUUUCCCCUGCCUCCAUACCCCAUUAAGUCUUCAAGGUUAGGCUCCACAGUCACUGCAGAAAUGGACUAAGCUCAGGAGGAGCCCAGGGUGCAUGUUUUUCCUGACCCAACAGCUGGUGCCUGAUCCUGGGCAAGUUAAGCAUUUGAGCUUUAGGCAUCUCAGCUACCCAAGUCUUGACAAAGGCUGAUAAAAGCCCCAAGCUCAGAGGAGUGCUAGGAGGGUGCUUUGUCAGGUGCUGUGCCCAGCACUGGGACACACAUGCAGUAAAUGCUCAAUAAAACUCCACCAAACCCACUGUGUAAGUGCUCG
rnacentral:lncRNA from 1 species